CCCUCCCCCCACCGAGCUGGAGAAUGCGAGUGUGUGUGCACACACGUGUCCCUCACCCUCUUCCUCAGAGGCUGGCACACUACGCACUACAAACGUGUGGGCGUUUUUAGACUUUGUUUCAACAGGGGAGGGACUUUCAACGCCGAGUUUCCUUCUUGGAGGAGUCUGAAUGGUGCAUCAGCAGAAACUACUCAGAUCAAAUAAAGCUCUUGUGAGUUCUGCAAGAACUGGAACUGUGGGAGCCGCUGGCCGCUGUGUGGCGGGUUGGAAGUCCGUUCACGCACGCGCAGCCAAGCAGGUCUUCCACGGGCUGUAGAGCCUUUUCUGCACCUGCGGGCCGUUUGUGUGACUCUUCGUAAGGAACAUGAGUCACAUGAAAGGGCACAUUGCCUUCGGGGACACAAUCAAACGCCUGAAUGACAAGUAUGAAGAGUGUCACCCUCAAUGACACCUUGGAAUCCUGAAACCGUUUUUCGUGGAGCCCGUCAGCAGGUGGAUGAUGGCCGGUAACACACAGGGAGAGCGGCAGAGGGGGCAGAUGACGCGGCGUUUCCCCUGGUUUCUGUCCGUGAGUUCUGUGAAAGCCGUGUGCCCAGGCCGAGCUCCAGGACCGGCGCCUGCUGACGGGGAGAGGGGCCGUCUCUCCCAGCUGGGGUGCGGGCACUCUGCCCAUUGGAUCUGAGGUCUUGUAGCCCCCGGGUGCCCCCUUUGGUAAAAAAUCUACUGCUCCUUUCAGUAGGCAUCAGCAUGUGUAAGGGCCAGCCCGUAACCCCCAAGUGAUGGAUGCCCCCCAAGAAGGACCCUCAACCGUGUCUCACCAGGAACUGAGGUGAGAGCUGUUGCUCCGGUCUGAAUUCAAACAGGUUCCCCUUGGGAGAAGACUGCUUACCUGGGGCUGCUCAGCAAGGUCCGGUCUGCAGACCAGUCCCCUCACAUGCGACUUCAAAAUGCAGGAAAGACUUGCCCUGAGAGGAAGCAUCUCGAGGGAGCACAUCGGGGUCUGCGCCGGACAGGAGGGGCUGAUCUGUAAGAAGAGAACCAAAAUGUCUGGACCUCUCAUCACACUCCGUACUGGUUACACUAACUGCGGGACACAGAGCAAGAUGAAAACGUGAGGCCCCCGUCCACAGUCGUGAACGAUUUCAAGACAGUAAUCGAAGAGCAUGAUCCAUGCAUGAGGCCUCCCAGAUUGUGGCCCCUUGAGCAUGGACCCCCUGAGCCCAGCCUCUUUGUUCUGCAGAAGAACUUCAACUCUAAGUAGACAGUGAAAAGUUAAACUUCUAAAUUGAUUUAUUAACUCCAGCGACUACAUAGUCACACAGCUGUACAGAGUGACAUAGACCAGACCCAACGAGAGGUUAACAUGGAAGGGUAAAAAAUAUUCUAAGAAUUCUAAGAAAGACAGAAAGGGAGAAAGAAAACAAUGAAAAAUAUAGGGGACAAACAAAACAAUAAAAUCGUAAACUUAUAUCCAAACAUAUUAGUAAUGAAUUAAAUACAAAUGGCUUAAACAUAUUAA